rnacentral:rRNA from 1 species
AUGGGGCGAUCGCUAUGCUGUGACAAGGUCGGCCUAAAGAAAGGUCCAUGGACGCCGGAGGAGGACGAGAAGCUUCUUGCCCACAUCGAGGAGCAUGGGCACGGGAGCUGGCGUGCAUUGCCCUCCAAGGCCGGUUUGCAGAGGUGCGGCAAGAGCUGCAGACUGAGAUGGACCAACUACCUGCAGCCGGACAUCAAGAGGGGCAAGUUCAGCUUGCAGGAAGAACAGACCAUCAUCCAGCUUCAUGCUCUUCUCGGCAACAGGUGGUCUGCCAUCGCGACGCACCUGUCGAGGCGCACCGACAACGAGAUCAAGAACUACUGGAACACCCACCUCAAGAAGAGGCUGGCCAAGAUGGGGAUCGACCCCGUCACCCACAAGGCCGCCAGCGGAGCUCCCGUGGGCACCGCAGACGACGUCAGAUCAGCCAAGGCCGCGGCGAGCCUGAGCCACAUGGCCCAGUGGGAGAGCGCCCGGCUCGAGGCCGAGGGGCGCCUGGCUCGAGAAUCCACGAUGCGCGCAGCAGCCUCCAGGCCAACCUCAGUCCCUCUGCACCCAAUAAACCUGCCAGAGCCUGCCGCCUCCCCGUGCCUCGGCCUGCUGCAGCCAUGGCAGGGCGCCGCGAAGCUCGACCUGGAGUCACCCACCUCCACGCUGACGUUCAUCGGUAACAAUAACAGCGUCAGCCUUGGGAUAUCCGAGGGCGACCCCACGACGUGGAGGUUGAGAGGCGAUGAUCCGGAGCGCGAAGAGGACAGUGCGCGCAGGUUCCUCCGCCAGCAGCAGAUGCAAGGGCUGGAAGGCGCGGAGAGGGGAGACGAGCACAUCAUUGGCUGCGGUGAGGAGCCGUGGUUCCAAGAAACCGUUGGCGUCGGGGCCGGCCUCACAGACGUGCUGCUCGCUGGAUCCGGUGUCGGUGCGCACGGUGCACUGGAGUGCUGGGGCGAGUCCGGCAAUGGCCAGGCCGAGCACGGCGGCCAGGUCUCGGGCGACGGAGAGAGCAGCAGCAGCUACUGGAGCGGCAUCCUCGGCAUGGUGGUCAGCUCGGAGCCGCCAUUUCUCUAG